GCAGGGAGCCCAAUGCGGGGGUGGAUCCCAGGACCCUGGGAUCAUGACCUGAGCCGAAGGCAGACGCUUAACGACUGAGCCACCCAGGCGCCCCAAGUUGUCUCUGUUCUUUACACACAAUUCUGUUCAGUGUUCACAGAAUCUCUAGGACUAAAGUCUGUGGAUUCCUCAGUAGAAAAUGUCCCACCAAGACGCUGCUCUAAGGGAAGCCCCAGCUGCUCCCAUUGGAGCUGAAAGUCACGGGUCAAGACGGGAGUCCCUCCCCUGGUGUUUCUUCUGGGUUUUGCAACCAGAUUGGGCUCCCUCUCCAGGGAGGGCAAGGACCUUCUGCCGGCUCCAGUGGCUCAGGCACCUGGGAUGCAGUGCCUGGCUGGGGGUGUCCUGCAGCAGAUGUGGGGAGUGUUCCUUCUUUAUGUUUCCCUGACAGUGGGAGGAUUUUCCAUCCUGGGCUUCUGUAACAGGGUAUAAGAGGACAUUGAAUCAGGAGGAGGUACAGGAGUACAUGAAGAGAUUAUGGAACAAGUGGAAGAAAGAACAUUUUAACAGUGAGCUACAUCACCCCUGUGUCAUUGGAGAACAUUGCUGCAGGAAAAAAAAUGCUUUGAGAAAUGAAGAUGUGCCCAACUGCAAGAGAAAUUUGGUGUCGGUUUAUGUUGAGAAUAUGGUGCACAAAAAGGAAAUCUAAUGUCUGUGGCAUACAUUUCAGAAAAAAUGGAGGAAAAUAAUUAAAAGCAAAAACAGAAUAAAACAAAAUGUCUAUA